rnacentral:rRNA from 1 species
AAACUAACAAGGAUUCCCUUAGUAACGGCGAGUGAAGCGGGAAAAGCUCAAAUUUAAAAUCUGGCGAGUAGUCUCGUCCGAAUUGUAAUUUAGAGAUGCAUUUUAGUACUAAGCCCUCUCUUUAAAGUCCUUUGGAACAAGGUAUCAUAGAGGGUGAGAAUCCCGUAUGAGGAUAGGGCUUUAGUGCAUGGAAAGUGCAUUCAAAGAGUCGAGUUGUUUGGGAUUGCAGCUCAAAAUGGGUGGUAAAUUUCAUCUAAAGCUAAAUAUGAGCGAGAGACCGAUAGCGAACAAGUAGAGUGAUCGAAAGAUGAAAAGAACUUUGAAAAGAGAGUUAAAUAGUGCGUGAAAUUGUUGAAAGGGAAGCGCUUGUGAUCAGACAUGCCUUUAUAGGAGAUGCCAUUGUUUCGGCAUUGGCAGUAUUAUCCGAAUUGGCAGGCCAGCAUCGGUUUCAGUUACUGGAUAAAACUGGAAGAAGGUAGGCUCUCUUCGGAGGGUUUUUUAGCUUCCAGUAGCUGCAGUGACCGGGACCGGAAGGGAAAUUGGGUCUUUGAAGACCUUAUGAUGUUGGCAGAAAUGGUCCUAAGCGACCCGUCUUGAAACACGGACCAAGGAGUCUAAUAUCUAUGCGAGUGUUUGGGUGGAAAACCCAUACGCAGAAUGAAAGUGAAUUAAAGGUGGGAGCCUUUUUGGGUGCACCAUCGACCGGUUCUCUUAUGAGGACUGAGUAAGAGCAUAGCUAUUGGGACCCGAAAGAUGGUGAACUAUGCCU